GCCCCGGUGGCACAACCAGUCAGUGCAUCUGGCUGUUAACCAGAAGGUUGGUGGUUCAAGCCCACCCAGGGACG